rnacentral:rRNA from 1 species
UACGUAGGCAGCAAGCGUUGUUCGGAAUUACUGGGCGUAAAGAGUACGUAGGUGGUUUGCCAAGUCCGAUGUGAAAUCUCCUGGCUUAACUGGGAGGGUGCGUUAGAUACUGGCAGGCUUGAGUGUGGGAGAGGAGAGCGGAAUUCCUGGUGUAGCGGUGAAAUGCGUAGAGAUCGGGAGGAACACCAGAGGCGAAAGCGGCGACCUGGACAGGAACUGACACUCAACUACGAAAGCGUGGGGAGCAAACAGG